CACUUCCUGGUGUGAGCCGUGCGAGCUGUGCUUACCUGUUGGGCCGCGUUUGGGGAUCAAUUCCCCCUUCAUCUGGGUGUCAACUUGCUGCUAGAUGAGUGGCUGUAGGGAGGUCGCAGACUCCCCACCUCUCCUACUGGGCGUGUCAGUUAAAUGUUUGUUUGCCAGGAGCGGCUAAUCUGCCGUGGAGCCCGCCAGCUGUUUUGUCCUUCCGUGUGGCUUCGAAGUCCAGUGUUGGCACCCAUAAAUACGCCUGGACUGCCUCUGCUCCUUGGAAGUCCGCCGUCUGCAGAAGCUGAGCACGACGGUGGCGGCAUCGGUGUCCCUGGGUGGUGGGUCUCCCUCCCGUGUGAUGUGCUGCGCACCCCUUUUUGUUUGAGUGUGUUCACCUUUAUUUUCAGUGAGUGAGAGUGUCCACGUGUGUCUGGGGUGAUCCUUCCGAGGCCUUCAUUCCCUUUACUACCCGUGUCCCACCGAGGGAAUUCUGGAGAGAGCUGAUCCAGCCAGGUGCUGCACAGUGGCUCCAGGCUUCAGGGCCAUGUGUCUGGAGGCAGCAGGUCAGAGGAGAAUCCUGAUCUCAGGAGGUCGGCACGUGUGCCAAAACCACAGCGGCGGCUGAUAGAAGAGCAGGGUGACGGUGAUGGUGAGGAGAAUGAAGCUCGAUGUGAAGAAGCCAGUUCACCAGCAUCUUCCCAGAGUCCAUCUCCUGAGCAGCUUCGCGGCCGUCCCAGGAGAAGGGCAGGCAGAUCACGGGGUGUCACCGCCCGAAGCAGGUCACCUCACAGUCUGGGUGCACGGAGGUCUGUAGAGGAUCCUGAUGUGGCUCCACCACAACUAAGGUUUGCCCCGAGGCGAACACCAGGGGUGCAACCCCCUCUGAACACUGGGUCACCCACACCGCUCAGUAUUUUCUCCAACUUUUUUGAUUCGGAGAUUUUGCGUCUUUUGUGCCGUAACACCAACCUGAAUGCUGUGAAAGGGACAGUGAAAGCAGUGAAAGGGGGGGGUGUCAUUGCGAGUGGUACCAUCCAAUUUGUACAGUGUACAUAGAUCAUCUGUUCAUUUACUGGAAUCCAAAAUAUUUAUGAAUCUAAUGUGAAUAAAGUGUAAUCUAAUUUGUGAAUGAAAUUCUGUGAAUUGUAUGUAAAUAUCUAAAUAUGCAAAUGUAUGUAAAUCUUUUUCAAUUUCUUACCUUCCUCAGGUGAAGGAUCCACCUGUUGUUUCUCAGUGUGCGUGUGGGCAGAGGGGAGGCAUUCAGCUGUGGAUCCUCUGCCCUCUCUUUGUUUGCCUUCUUUUUGUUGGAGUCACUGUGUUAUUGAAUAUGCAUUUUCUCUGAAUAAUGUUAUGUUGUGUGUAAGAAUUGCCAUAGCUGCUGCUGGGCCCGAGUUAAAAAGGUGUUUGUUCUUUAUCAAAUGAGGCAAAUUUAAGGUAUUAGCACUUCAGUUUUUUAUCUUAUAGGCAUUCCAAAUCAUAAUCAUAUUUUGCCUCAAAAACGCCAGAUAUUUUCUUUACAAAGAAGACUGUAAAAGGCAAACAAAUUGUCCAUUGUCCAUUAUGUUUUGUACAUGUGUUCAUUAUUGUUCAAAUUUGAAAUGUAUUGUGCUUUUGAGCUGCUCAGGCUGCUUUUAUUUUGUUUUACUACAGUAAAAAGAGCUAAAACGCA